rnacentral:lncRNA from 1 species
AUGUAUGUAUAUAUACACACCCACAUUUUAGAGUGACUAAAUCAAGCUAUUUAGCUCAUGCGUUACCUCACUUACUUGUCAUUUUUGCAUUUUUGGUGGCGAAUUGGAAAGCUAUUUUUAUAGGCCUUUUGUUCAUACCCUAUUGAAAUGAUCACUAAUGCUGAUUUAGAGAAAUCUGAAUUACUGAGAUUAUAUAUGGUAGGUAAGAAGUGGAGGACAGGGCCACCAUUUUUAAAUGGCUCAUCCUCCUGAGUGACAGUAGCUGUGAUUAAAUAAACCUCCCUACCUAGCAAAAUCAUCAAAUGUGGUGACCACAUUAACUUUGGUAGAGGACAGCUUCUGAAAGACCUUUGCUUUCUAAAGGAAUACAUAUUAAUGGUCUCUGAAAUUUUAAAGUAUUUUAAGCCUGUAGGAUUAAAGGUAAAUGGACAGCUAAAUGUGUGUUUUCAGGUGAAAUGACAGUAAAUCCUUGUGCUCCAGCUCAUAAACUGAACCUUCCAGGGGGCAUAGUAUGGUCCUGCUAAAUAAAUCUCUUGCUCAUUCUGUAAUUAGCAAUGACUAUAACAACUUUUAUUUCUCCAUUUAACAUUUGUGAGAUAGCUUCAGUCUGUUUCAUUUCAUCAUUCAUCUUUUUGGAAAUCUCGCUGCUGCCACAACAGCCAUGCAUAUAAAUUCCUCACCAUGCCUCUGCAAAUCAAACAAAAUGUACUUUAAGCCUGCCUCACAAUCAAAGGCUCUAUGUGAUUUAUUUCCAAACGGUUCUUAGAGCUGGGCCUAAAUGCGACACAGCUACAUGCAAAAGCACAAUGUUUUGGACAGGGUCAGAGUCCACUUAGAGAGAGAGAGACCUAGCAUAGCACAAGACACACAGUAGCCAUUCUGCAUUCUGUAAAUUUGUUUUCGAAUGAGAUCUAUGUAGAGAAAUUUGCUCCACUCUGUCUUCCUUGUCUAAAGGAGGAGGCUUUUCAUCCUUUUCGGGAGACAUUUCCAGGCACGUUCAGGUGGACUGUCUGCAGGUCAGGUUCACAUCUAGUCAUGUCUUGAUCACCCCCGUGCAUCCCUAGCUAGGGGGAAGCUUAUAGAAUCAGAGGUCCAUCAUAAGGCACAAUGAAUUACAGGAUGCCACAAGCAUAUUUGUCUAUGAAAAUCUUCACCAGGUGGAAAUGGCCAAAACAAAGAUCACCAACCCCCAGGGGAAAGGGUUCAACCUCUGCUGAGCUUCCGAAAUACUUCAAGCCCUGCAACCAGACACAGGCCCAUAAGGACAGGACCUGAGUGAAACCAAGCAGUUUCUGGGGAAGGAAAUAUUUUCAUUGACAUUUUUGGGUUACUGUUGCACUACCACUAGUUGUCUCGGAGCUCUAGGAAAAUGGUGAUCAUUUUUCACAGGCUGCUAGUUUUUGUGAGCUUCUGGUUGGGUUGGUUUUAAGUUAUCAGAGCAAUAGAACUUCCCUGACAAGUCAAAGUACCACCUAUUGGAAGAGUGUCAGUGCUACUCAAAAUAUGGCUUGAGAAUUGAUGCCAUCUAUGUCACCUGGGAGUUUGUUAAAAAAUGCAGAUUCUUCAGACCCCACCCCAGAUUCCAAAUCCCCAGAAUCCGAAUCUCUGGGGAUGGGGCCUUGAAGAGUGAGUUUUAACAUCUUUCUGGGUGAUUCUGAUGCACGCAAAAGUUUAAGAAGCACUAAUCCACCUAUCCUUUCUGGCUUUUGUCCUUCGAGCCAAGACCCUCAAUUUGGAGGAGGGGCAGCAAUGUUCCCAGUAAAUACCGCAUUUCCCUGCCUCCUCUGCAGCAAAGGGAGGCUGGAUCGGCUGCAAGGCACAGCCCCUUUGCCCAUUGCCCUUCCUUCUGCUUCCUGCCUGAAUUGUGGAUGUGAGGUUCAGUGCUUCAACAGCCAUCUCAGCCCAUGAGGCAGCCUCAGUGAUGGAAACUGCACUAAAAAUCAAGGAGUCUGAAGGCAGAAGGAGCGUGCUUCCAACAAUCAGGCAGAAGGAGCGUGCUCCCAACGAUCAGGCAGAAGGAGCGUGCGCCCAACGAUCAGGCAGAAGGAGCGUGCGCCCAACGAUCAGGCAGAAGAAGCGUGCGCCCAACGAUCGGGCAGAAGGAGCGUGCGCCCAACGAUCGGGCAGAAGGAGCGUGCUCCCAACAAUCGGGCAGAAUGAGCGUGCUCCCAACGAUCGGGCAGAAGGAGCAUGCGCCCAACGAUCGGGCAGAAGGAGCGUGCGCCCAACGAUCGGGCAGAAGGAGCGUGCGCCCAAGAUCGGGCAGAAGGAGCGUGAGCCCAGCGAUCGGGCAGAAGGAGCGUGAGCCCAAUGAUUGGGCAGAAGGAGUGUGCUCCCAACGAUCGGGCAGAAGGAGCGUGUGCCCAUGAUCGGGCAGAAGGAGCGUGUGCCCAUGAUCAGGCAGAAGGAGUGUGCUCCCAAUGAUCAGGCAGAAGGGGUGUGCUCCCAACGAUCAGGCAGAAAGAGUGUGCUCCCAACGAUCAGGCAGAAGGAGCGUGCUCCCAAUGAUCAGGCAGAAGGAGUGUGCUCCCAUGAUCAGGCAGAAGGAGUGUGCUCCCAAUGAUCGGGCAGAAGGAGUGUGCUCCCAUGAUCAAAGGCAGCCACUCCAGCCCUGGCUUUCCUUCCUCCAGAUUCCCUUCACAUGAGAGUAAAACAAACCUUUAACUUACUAUAAACUUAUUAUAAAUUGGUUUCUUUGAAUUUGCAGUCAUAUGCCAUCCAACAUAAUCCCAGGUCAGUUAGCACAGAUGCCCCCUAGAAAAGCCAGAUGUGGAAGUGGAGACACCUUUCCCAGGGCUACGGGGAUUCUUACCCCACUCACCAAUGUCCCUCUUGCAUUCCUGGCCCCUAUCUCUUCUUCCAUGUAACCCUUUCUGUAAAACUGAUUAGGUAAAAAUCGAUUAGGUCUGUAGAAAAUGGGCAAGGG